UGGGGAAUAUUGCGCAAUGGGCGAAAGCCUGACGCAGCGACGCCGCGUGGGUGAUGAAGGCCUUCGGGUCGUAAAGCCCUGUCGGGAGGGACGAAACCUCGGUGACCUAAUACGUCACCGCCCUGACGGUACCUCUUAAGGAAGCACCGGCUAACUCCGUGCCAGCAGCCGCGGUAAUACGGCGGGUGCGAGCGUUGUUCGGAAUUACUGGGCGUAAAGCGCGUGCAGGCGGUCUCUUAAGUCUGGUGUGAAAGCCCGGGGCUCACCCCCGGAAGGGCACUGGAGACUGGGAGGCUAGAGUACCGCAGAGGAAGGUGGAAUUCCUGGUGUAGCGGUGAAAUGCGUAGAUAUCAGGAGGAACACCGGUGGCGAAGGCGGCCUUCUGGACGGCUACUGACGCUGAGACGCGAAAGCGUGGGGAGCAAACA
rnacentral:rRNA from 1 species